GGAGACCAGCACGUGCGUAGGAUCUCCGAGGUGUAGGGUACUUUUAGUAGCAGAAUCUGACUGUAGAGAACAGGACAAUAUCCACUGGCUGGGGACAGAACUUUAUGUUAGCUAAAGUCUCAGGUGCAUCCAUUUUGUUUCAAAGACUUAGAGAGGAGUGGAAGAACCAGGGCAAGCGAAAAGAAGUCAGGACGUGGAGGAAGCCGACCACGGCAAACUUACUGCAACCACAGAGGAGACCAGAGGACCGAAGACGAGCAGCCAGAAGGUCAUCUGCUAGAAGUGAGGCUUACGAAGAUUUGCUCAUAAAGCAACAAGCUGAUAAUUUGGAUUGCCAAAGACAAAGCAAAGAAUGAACUGGAUGCCUAGUUCUGCGAGUCGAGACCAGAAAACAGGCAGCCACCCUGAGCAAGCAGUGGAUGGAGAAGCUGCUGAGUGCAGAUCAGGAGAAAUGCAAGACUGGACCAUUGACAGAACACUGACUUCUUCCAAAAAGAAGUCUGGAAAGGCCGGAGAAGAGAUGCUUGCAGGAUGCCUUCUCUAUUCUGGGGCAACACUGCCCUUGUGUGAAGAUUUGUUUCAUACAUACCCUUCCAUGUAGAAGAGACACAGCUUGUAAAAUCGGCUUCUACCCAUUUGGAAGGUGAGGGUCAGGGGAUUUUUAAAUAACCAAGUUUGCCUGGCCUCAUACCAUUUUUUUUUGUUUGUUUUUCUGUAGGCAAACUGGAAUGAGGAGCCCUUUUAGAGUCUUAAUAUAAACCCUGUUGACUGAAGGCCCAGUUACUAAUGCACGGCUGUCCUGAGGUCCAAAAACAGGAAGUGGAGGGGCGGGGUUUGCACUGCUCAGAUCGCAAAUUGAAUCUCCUAGCUCAUAUCUUGGGGCAGGAAGGCGCCUCCUUCUCCGGGUUCUGAACCGGAGCCUCAGAUUUAACGUCGAGCACAAGACAGUCCUACACCAGCAUAGACACUGGAGGUAGAAUGCAGCUGGAGAGGAGGAAACUCAAGGCUUGACCGCUGACUGGCCACUGACUGCUUCAAAACAGAGGAGGCCUGAGAAGGUGGGCGCCUCAGCUCUCCACCUCCUUCCCCUUUCCCUCCUGCUUCCAUCAGUUUCCUGUACUUUCCUUUUUCCCUUCUUUGGAUUUUUGUCUUUCGUGUUUUGAUGGUGGAUUCUGAUGAGGGAACAGAGCUACUAGCUGUGGCACUCAGAUAAAAUUAAAAUGGAGGCUAAGCUGUCAUUAAUCACUUUUGCUCUCACUGAAGGAAAAAGGCAGGGCUGACACAUUGCUGGACUCUGCUUUAUUUUUUGUAUUGUAUUUUUUUUUCAAAUCGCGAAGGCGGGGGCGGAGUGAUGCAUGCCUCGUACCUUGGUUGCAGUGGGGCAACACUGCCAUCAUGUGGAACUUGUUUCAAACAUACCCUUCAACAUGGGCACAUUGCGUACUCAAUGCUACUUCUAGGCAUUUUGAAGGUGAGGGUCAGGGAGGGGCCUCUUAUUUUUGGUCUCAUACCAUUUUAUUAAACUUUAUUGACUGAAGGCCCAGUUACUAGUGCAAACCUGUUGUGAGAUCCAGGAACAGGAAGUGGAGGGGCGGGGCUUGCACUGCUCAGCUUGCAAUAGGAA